rnacentral:sRNA from 1 species
UAUUCUGCCCUACAGGGAAGGAUGAGAAGCUUCGACCAAGGUUCGACUCGAGCGAAGCGAGAGAACGUUGCCGCAGGCAACGGCCCGAAGGGCGAAGCGCUUUAGCGCCGAGUAAUCCUUCCCCCACCACUG